UGUCCUUAAAGACAAAGGAGUGGCACAGAGUUGGCAGCACUUUAAGGAUGCCUUUCUGAGGGCACAAGAGCUCUCUGUCCCCAAGUAUAGGAGAACAAACACAAGAGGCAGGAAACUGGCAUGGUUUGGCAAGGACCUGCAGGUCAAACUGAGGGAAAAGAAGGGUGAGUACAGACAGUGGAAGCAAGGAUGUGUCAUCUGGAAAAAAUACAGGGAUGCUGCCUGGAUUUGCAGGGAUGGUAUUAGGAAAGCAAAGACACAGAUGGAGCUGAGCUUGGCAAGGGAUGUAAACAUUAACAAGAAGGGACUGUACAGGUACACUGGUGAGAAGAGACAGGCCAAAGUGAGCACAUCUCCUCUGAUAAAUGAGAAAGGAGAAAUGGCUACAACAAAGAUGGAGAAUGCUGAAGUACUCAACAAGUUCUUUGCCUCAGACUUUACUGGAAGUCAGGCUUCUUGUGUCAGUUUCUUGAACUAAACGUUUCUAAACCUCUAGGUGAUGGCUGGCUACAAAGUGCCUUAAUUAUAUCAAGACAGAAAUGAAUAGUCCAUGAUUUAGCAACUGCAGUACAACUAGGAGAAAUUAGGUGACGACAGAAAAUUUGCACUGGAGGACCAAGAUACCAUACUUUUCCAGCCUAGAAAUGGACCAUUACAGAAGGGAAUGCAGAUGAACAUGGCUGAACUCAGUGCUGCAGUUUACAGAAGUAUCUGCUCACAGCACAGAAUGACACAUGGCUUGUCCUACAUCACAGACAACACUAAGCAGUGUAUGGGAACAGUAGACAAGGAAAAGAAUUGUAGAAUCAUUGAAUCGCCAAAGCUGAAAAAGAUCUCCAAGACCAUCCAGUCCAACUUUCCACCUACCACCAGUAUUUCCCACUAAACCAUGUCCAUCAAUACAACAUCCAAAUGUUUCUUGAACACUUCCAGGGACAGUGAUCUAACCACCUCCUUGGGCAGCCCAUUUCAGUGCCUAACCACUCCUUUGGAGAAUAAAUUUUUCCUAUUAUCCAACCUGAACCUCCCUUGGCACAAAAGAACAAAUAACAAGUGGUUUGGUUUUUCUGUCACAGGUUGUUGGUGUGGUUAAUAUUCUCUGCUUCAGUACUCUGCGUUUACAACUCUUUUGCAAUGAGGUCACACUGACAAGCCACAAACACUGCUUGUUCCUUUUAAGAAAUAGUGAUUGCUAGACGCAAAUGAAUUCAGGGAUGGCUGAGAGGUGAUCUUGCAAGACUUCAAAAUAUCAAAGUGUGUCAUUCUGAUAUGCCUGAUAAAAGUGUUAUUUAAAUAUCCAUGGAAACCAACCUUCACAUUCAACUCAGGGGCUUUGGUCAUAAAUAAAAUACUGGACUGUGAAGGGAUUUCAAAGAUAUACCUUGUCUUUUUGAUCUCUGCAGUUAAUUCUUUCUCUCAACUUGGUCCUUAGAAAGGCGAUUGAAAGUGCAGCUAAGCUAAACGUUCCGUGGGAGUGCUCUGAUCUGUUUACUGCUUUGAUGUUCUCUGUAGGCUACUGCUUCCUGUGAACCAGGAUUCCAUGGCAAAAUAUAUGUGAUUCUCCAUCUCUUUUUUUAAAAGAUUUAAUAUGCAUUUCUCUCUGCUUGUAUCUAUAUUUGCACAUGACGGGUGAGAAGCAGACACAUGGUCCUCUAUUUCCAGAGAGGUGUUCAAAAAAAGACACCAAAAUCUGUCAGAUAUCUUCAAAGCAAGUUUGGAAUUCUGUGUUACCUUUAUCAGGAUCCUCCCCAAUUUUUUAGUUGUAUAAACAGUAUUUAAGCCUUGAUGACCAUUUAACUAAAUUAAGCAAACAAACAAACAAACAAACACAGAAUUGUUGGUAUUACAUUUGAAUUGAAGGACACAAACAAUGCAUAUUCUUUCUUUGCUGAUUUUGAACCAGAAUAUUUGAACCAGAUUUUGAACCAGAUUAUUUUCCUGCCAGUGGAUAAAAGUUACAGUAUUACUUAGAACAGCCUUUUUAACAUCAUCAUUAUAAAAAUGUUACCUUUAUAACUUGUUUAUCAAUUGACUAUUUUGUAAAACUGCAGUUGGCUUAUCUGAUUGGUAAUGCUAAAAUAUCCUUCCAAUGUUUUAAAUUUUCACCAAAAAUAUCUCGGGAUGGUACGAUUCUAUGUAGUUAUGCAGUGUUUUGAGAAAAUCUUUCUUAUUUGGAUGUUACUGCUUAGCUUCAUAAUUAUACGAAACCUCAUAUCAGUGUUUUCAAAGUAUUUGUCCCUUUUUUUUUUUUUUUUAAAUCUUAAUCAUAACUUUCAGGUUUCUUAGAGGACUGGUUUCAUAAUACAUUCCUAAAUUUUUUGCUCUUUCUUCAAUAUUUUGCUGAUUUGUUUUCAUGUUUUAUAUACCAUCUAUGAUAUACAGGAUAUUAGCUAAUUUCUUGACAAUGUAAAAGGGGUGGUAUCCCUUUCAUUAGCUGUUCUUUUUAUAGAAGACAUGCAGAAGAAAAAAAAAAUUACCACUGAACUGGAAUAACUGAGGUGAAAUUGCUAAUCAGAAACGCUGUUACUUGUAUGUGAGAGUUUCAAAGCACUUUUAAGUGCAAGUUCAUUGAGCCUACUCACACUUUUUGAGGUAAAGAGGUAAUUAAUAUUAUCCCCUUCAUCGCAGGUCUCAGCUUUGAACAGUCCAAGGUCUCUUCUGGGCAGUAAAAUGAAGCAGUAAACAACUCUGUGCUUUCUAACUGAAUGGGAACAAUGCUUUCUUUGAAGAUGUGAUUCUGCUGACCUUAUUAAAAAUACAGUGCAUGAACUACCUUGAAGUAAGCAAAAAAGUUCUCAGAAGACAACCAGAUGAAAUAAAUUCUUGCUGACCUCAGUUCUUGAGAGCUUUGAUAAAUUUUGCUAUGGGUACCAAAGUUGUCCCUUUCUUUCACAUCAGGUCUGGCCAUCUACUAGGGCUUGCUACUUCAGAAGAGGUAAGGAGAAGAGCUCAUGCCGUAGUUUCUCAGUCCCGGGUUGUAGCCUCGCUUUUGGGGACAGUAUACUUUUGCCAACAUGUUGACCUAAGAACAGGAAUGACUGCAGCUUGGCACAUAUUCCCUUCUGCAGCAAAUGAAUUCUGUUGAAAGAACAAUAACACAUGUCUUCUAAGAGUUUCUUCCUCUUGUGUUUCCUAUCUGUGUACAAACACUGGACAUGUGGAGAUAAGAGUUAUGGAGAGAGGAAAGAGAUGAUAACAACACACUGAGGGUAAAUUAAAUAUCUGCCUCUGACAAAACUGAUGCAACAGAGGAGAAUAGAAAAGUUUUGCUUAGGGAAAGAAUGAUUACGUGGGCUGAAUUAACAAAACAUGAAGCUUAUUGUAUUUCACUUAUUUAUUUCAAUGUUGUUAUGGUGUAGGAGACAGACUGUAUUAAUCUAAAAAGAAGUAACAUAACGUUGCUUGAACUGCAGCAUUACCUUAUCUCAGUGUAAAGGAAAAUACCACGUUCUAAUUGUUGGAAUGGAGGUGGGGGAAAAGACUAAUAACUGAGAAAGUUUGUUACAGAAGGGAUGCUAGUAACUGCAAAUAAGAAGCAAAUCAGAUUAGAAUUCUUUUAACAAUUUAAAUUACACAGAUGGUGGGUGGAACAUUGUGGAGUUUUGUCCAUUUUCUUUCUUACCUUUUGGAAGAGCAGUCAUUCUUGAAGAAUUCUAUAGUAAAAAAAAUAGCAUUUGCUCACUUUGUCCACAAGGGUUUUAUCUGUGAUCUUUCACUUACUCAAUCAACUUUCCACUGCUGUGCUCCAAAGCAAGGUUUGGAACUUGAGGGCAUUUUAAUAGUGUUCUCAAAGAUACUGUGCCUGUUGGCCUUGGUGGGGAGGGUAUUAGAAAUCAACUGAUGAUUUUUGCAAACAAACAACUUCUAGACCACAUGGGGAAAUCUAGACUCCUGCUGUUUUUCACCUAAUUAUACUCUCUGCAGGUUUGUGCAGUUACUUUAAAUACACGUAGGUGGCCACAGCCACUGAGAAGAUUAUGCAAAAGUUGAAUGGAGCAAUCAGAGAAGUAACCCCUGUAAGUGAAUAUUGUGGGUUCUAUACAUGUUAUCACAGCUUGCUUAAUUCCAUUUCUGUGGGAAAACAAAUCAAAGUUGCCCUUAGAGAACAGUACAAAUGUCUCUGAGAAGGAGAGGGAGAGAAGAGGAGGAAGAGAGGGUGACAGGAAAGUGUUUUUAAUGUCCUAAUCCAAAGCAAAUAUAUGAUCAGUCAAGAGAAUAAAAAUAAUGAUGAGAUAAUAGGAACAGUGUGCAAGGUAGCUGUAAACUGAUUGAUUAUUCUCCUUCUAAAGGACAGUGCAGGCACACCGUAAUGAAGUACAGUGCAGACAGAAUUUUGAAUGUGAUUGAAAUAAAGGGUAUGAAUUUUUCAGAACUCAGCAAACCCAAAUUAAAGAUAGUCUUUUCUACUGACUGAGACCGUAACUGAGCUUCACAGUUAUAUCAGAGAGCUCAAGAUAUAAAGGUUUUUGCAUGCCACAUAUAUAGGUCUUUUUCUGUUUUGAGAAGACCCUGUGGAUUUGGAGCAAGCACUGUUUGAUGCUUGAGUUACUACAUUUCUAUUUAUAGGACGACAGCUAUGCCUGGGUGUUCAGUACUCUGUGCAUCCUGAAAUAGAAGUACAAAAUCGCUAAUGUGGCCCCAAAGGUAAGGAAGGGUAGGUCUCCAUCUAGUUAGUAAGUGGUGCACAACAUAUAAAGGAACAUGAGGCCUCCCUUAUCAGAACUAUGUAUUUUAAAGCACAACAUCCCUUACAGGCAAUAUAGUCUGAUAUGAAGCCUGCAUAGCUGUCAAAGCUGCUAACUGCUGCCCUGGGUUUCUCGGUGCUCUGCAAAGAAUUUGAUUCCUCUCUUUCUUCUCCAUUUACAUAUCACUGUGCUUCUUUGAGGCAUCAUGGUGUGGCAAACCAGAUCUUGAUCAGAAUAUGACUGGAAUAAAUGAUCUAGUGUAAAAUUUCCAAGAUGUCCCUUCUCUUUCACCUCCCUUCAAGUUCAUUCUUGCUCUGCUGCUCACCUUACUCUAAUCUCUUCUGUUCAGUCCGUUGUUCAUCUUUUUAAAAAUUCUUCUGUUGCUGAUGUUCUCUUUCCUGUGUGCACUGUUCACUCAAACACUUUCCUCCUGUGCUACACACCCUGAAACUCAGCAUUUGCUUGAUCUCUCCAAGAUGUUGUGGUGAUUAUUGUUUACCAUCUUGAGAGAGCUUUUUCCUACUGUACUAGACUUUUCUAGCUCAUUCUUCUCUGCUCUUCCACACGAUUCUUCGUUGCCUCUUAUCCUUCCAUUUCCCUUCAGACUUCCUUCCAAGUUCUUUCAGACUUACACUUAAAAUGUGCCACUGAAAGGCUUGAUUCCAAAAAAAAAAAAAAAAAAAAAAAAAGGGAGAGAGAGAGGAAAGGGAGGAAAGGAUUGCAAAAGUUAAAAGUUGGUGAAGAUGAACACCUCCAUAGCUCCAUACCUGACAGUAGGCACCUUUGAACUAGCUGUACAAACCUGCAGAGGGUAUAAUGAGGUGGAAAAACAGCAGGUAUCUACAUUCCCCUGGUAGUCCAGAAGUUCUUUUUUUUUUGUUUUUUACCAGAGCACUGACUUCUGGUGUACAGGAGGUUUAAUCUUUAAGUACAAAUUUAUUUGCAAUUCAUGAAUUUCUUUGUGAAAUGGACAUCUGAAAUAGCUGAAUGAUGCUUCACAAUAGGGUUGAGGUACCGUAGGUGAAGUUCAGCAUGGCCUUGGACCACUUCUAAAUCAUGAAUCUUCUUUUUCCAAAGGCGACUUUUCUUUUUAUGAUUCUAUUUUAUUCCUGUGCUGCCUCUUCUGUAUCAUCUGUGAGGUCAGGUAGUGAAGGCCUUAAUUACUUUAAUUGAAAACUGAAGGAGUUUGAGGGAAGAUAGCAAGCAAGAUACAUGCUUUUAGGUUUUUUUUUAAUUAUUAUUUUUAAAAUGCACAAUCUGUCUGGUGUUUUAUAAGCCUCUCUUCUUUUGAUUUGUUACUGUUACUGUUGCAAUUGUUGCUAUUAUUAUCAUUAUUUUAGUUUGCAUUUAUUUUUGCUCUUUUUCCUAAUUCUUAAUAACAGAGAAUGAGAAAUACUCUGGGAGGUUCAAGAAACAGAGUUUGCAAUGGCACAGCAUGUAUAAUAACUUCUAGAUGGAAAAUUGGAAUUAAAAAAUUCCAUUAGUUAGAAAAGUUGCCUUCUUUGGAAUCACCUACUAAUUGGUUCCUUUUCGUGUACAGAAGAAAAGGAAAGAGAAAAAAGAAGCAAAAGAUGAACUGGAGCUGUUGAAACGUUGAUUUCGAUAAUGCCCUAGGACCAUAUAGUAAUGUAUAUGGUCUGUAAAAACUGCAUUUAAUGAUUUGUUUUAGCGAUGUUUCUAAGGCAAACUGUAACUUACUGUCAGGCUUUUUUUUUUCCUUUUCCCUUCUUACUGCCUGGAGGGAUGACUUUCUCUUCUGUGGAGGAAGCUGGGGAGACAUGAAGGUUUAAGGGCUUCGAUGCUGUAUCCGUGCAGCUGAAUGGAUGUGUACAAGAUUCACGCUUCCCUCAGUACAGUGGCUGGGAAGGAACCACUAUCUUCUGGGUCACCAUAAUAUGCUACUUUUGAAUAUGCGCAGAUAAGUGAACACAUCCUUCCUGCACAUGAUAAAUGUCAGAUAAAUCGUUCAUUGACUUCUCAAAUUCAAGCAAAGCAUUGAGUUGCUGCAUAUCAGCUGAGCAGGAGAACAGACUGUGUGCUUGCUCUUAACUGUUGAAAAAGUGAGGUGAAAGACCUUUUCUUAAACUUGAACAAGAGAUUUAAAUUACCUCACUGUUGCAGCGGGCUAAGAGCCAACACACAGCUUAGCAAACUAAUACAGCUGAUAGAGAAUUCAUCAUGCAAUUGCAACUUGAUCAUGCACCUGACCCCUUCCGUAAUGUCUUAUGGUGAUAAGAUGGCUCAUAAUGUGAUUUUAUGUAAGCAAGGAUUGUCAAGUUCCAAACCCGCUGCACAGGCAGGGCUAUAAACCUCCAGAUCUGAUACUAGAUCAGGAUGCCCAGGGUCUCAUCCAAUCUGGCCUUGAACACCCCCAGGAAUGGAGCAUCCACAGCCUCUCUGGGCAGCCUGUGCCAGCACUUCACCACUCUCUCUGUAAACAACUUUCCCCUGACAUCCAAUCUAAACCUUCCCUUAAGGCCAUUCCCCCUUGCCCUAUAACUGUCUACGUUUGUAAAACGUUGAUUGCUCUCCCGUUUAUAAUCCUAUUUUAAAUACUGAAAGGCUGCAAUUAGGUGUCCUUGCAGCCUUCUCUUCUCCAGGCUUCACAAACCCAGCUCCCUCAGCCUGUCUUUGCAGGAGAGAUGCUCCAGCCCUCUGAUAUCCUUGUGGCCCUCCUCUGGACCCUCUCCAACAACUCCACAUUUUUCCUGCAUUGCGAGCUGCAGAUCUUUACACACUAUUCCAGAUGGGGCCUCACAAGGGCAGGGUAGAAAGGGACAGACCCUGUUCUGAUGGAGCCCGGGAUAGCAUUGGCCUUCUUAGCUGUAAGAGGAGGCCUGACAACGGCUGAUGAGAUGAAAAUCUUGGAGCUUCUUGCACAAUUCAAAAUUCCACUUAAAAGUGUCAGUGAAGAAGGUAUUUCACAUCUAGACCUCAUCAGGUUUGAAAACAAAGUGAUGCCAGCGUUGCAGUCAAUGUUAAACUAGGUGUGUACCUAUUAUCUAUGACAGGAAAUCUGCAGGAAACCUACAUAAUGGUCGCUGCCAAGUGAGAUUUUUUGGAAGAGGUAUCUGCACUGACUUAGGAAUCCACCAUUCAUUGUGUUUCAGUUGAUCUGAGGAAGCACAGAAUUCAACAGGAAGAAAUUAUUUAAUUUCCAAAUUAAGUGUGCUUUGUUUUGUUUGUUUUAAAUACAAGUGUGUAGUUUCAAGCUUGUGAAGUCACCGGUGAUCACUGGAAUUUUCUGCUUUUCGUUAGACGUGGCUGUCUUUCUCCUCCUUUGAAGGAGGUUAGGAGUGAAGCUGAAUUGGAAUUCUCAUCUGCUGUAAUCAAUGGAUCUAAUCAGUGUUUCUCUGUUGACAUCACACUUGGAACAGAGCAGAAUGCCCGAUCAGCACAAAGUGGAGGCUGGAUGGAAAUGAGAAAGGAGAGGAGAGCGAGGCAGGGAAGAGGUUGGAAACAAAUUAAACAGCCAGGCUUGAAAAAGCAGAAAAAGCAAUCUUCUGAUAUUUGUUACAAUUCAACAGAAAUGUGGUUAGAUUGUACACUUAACUUCAGGCCUCCUGUCUCCCUGAGCACAUCAUCAUUCUUGUUUUAUAAGAAUCAAUGUUAGCAACAGUGUGUGCUUGAAUUUACUGCACUCAAGUAUUCAGUGGUAGGCUGAAGCAAGCUGGUGAUGUAGAGAGUAGUUAUUGAAGGCGGCUUCUCAGGGAAAAACAUUUAAAAUUUGGUAUUGAAUUCAGUGUUGGAAGUUCAUUUGUAACCAUCAUGUACAUUUCAGACUAUCCUAACUAUAGUAAGGUGCAAAUAGAAAAAAAAAUAGCUUGGAAAUCCCAUAUUUUACUGUGAAAAGAAUUUGGAUCAUCAGAAGUAUAGAUGAGCAAGAGGGAUGAGAUUUAUAGGGAAUUAUGCAAAAGGAAAAAGCAAGUUAGAAAGGACACAAAAAGAAAACAGCUUAUAAGUGAAGAAUCUUGAAGUAGAAUAUGUACAUAAUAAAUAUUUGUCUUAAAUUUAUAUAACAAAGCAAUAAUAAAGGUACAGGUUCCCUUUGUAAAGAAGAACACAGGUGCCCACACGGUCACUUUGCACGACUAUUAGAGAAUUCACGAUGUGUAAUUAAAAACAUAUUCCUCUCAGCCCUUCCACAUCAAUUCUAGUGAGAUAAAGCAAUUCUUCUAUGAUCUUCUGCUCUGUUCUUCAAAUUUCUCACUCAGCUCUCCCACCAGCCAUCUGCUCAUCAGUAAAAACAUGUAGAAAAGUGUCAGU